rnacentral:rRNA from 1 species
UACAGAGGUCCCACGCGUUGUUCGGAUUCACUGGGCGUAAAGGGUGCGUAGGCGGUCGGGUAAGUCUGAUGUGAAACCUCACAGCUUAACUGUGAAACUGCAUUGGAUACUAUCCGGCUCGAGGAAUGGAGGGGAGACUGGAAUACUUGGUGUAGCAGUGAAAUGCGUAGAUAUCAAGUGGAACACCAGUGGCGAAGGCGAGUCUCUGGACAUUUCCUGACGCUGAGGCACGAAAGCCAGGGGAGCAAACGGG